AUUGAACGCUGGCGGCAUGCUUUACACAUGCAAGUCGAACGGUAACAGGGUGCUUGCACCGCUGACGAGUGGCGAACGGGUGAGUAAUGCGUCGGAACGUGCCGAGUAGUGGGGGAUAACGCAGCGAAAGUUGUGCUAAUACCGCAUACGUACUGAGGUAGAAAGUGGGGGACCUUCGGGCCUCACGCUAUUCGAGCGGCCGACGUCUGAUUAGCUAGUAGGUGAGGUAAAGGCUCACCUAGGCGACGAUCAGUAGCGGGUCUGAGAGGAUGAUCCGCCACACUGGGACUGAGACACGGCCCAGACUCCUACGGGAGGCAGCAGUGGGAAUUUUGGACAAUGGGCGAGAGCCUGAUCCAGCCAUGCCGCGUGUCUGAAGAAGGCCUUCGGGUUGUAAAGGACUUUUGUCGGGGAGGAAAUCCCCAGCGUUAAUACCGCUGGGGGAUGACAGUACCUGAAGAAUAAGCACCGGCUAACUACGUGCCAGCAGCCGCCGUAA
rnacentral:rRNA from 1 species